rnacentral:rRNA from 1 species
UUUGAGUACGUUCGCCUUGAGUUGAUAUGGCUCAGAUUGAACGCUGGCGGCAUGCUUUACACAUGCAAGUCGAGCGGCAGCGCGGGGGCAACCCUGGCGGCGAGCGGCGAACGGGUGAGUAAUAUAUCGGAACGUGUCCUGUAAUGGGGGAUAGCUCGGCGAAAGCCGGAUUAAUACCGCAUACGAUCUACGGAUGAAAGUGGGGGAUUCGCAAGGACCUCACGUUAUAGGAGCGGCCGAUAUCGGAUUAGCUAGUUGGUUAGGUAAAGGCUAACCAAGGCGACGAUCCGUAGCUGGUCUGAGAGGAUGAUCAGCCACACUGGAACUGAGACACGGUCCAGACUCCUACGGGAGGCAGCAGUGGGGAAUUUUGGACAAUGGGGGCAACCCUGAUCCAGCCAUGCCGCGUGAGUGAAGAAGGCCUUCGGGUUGUAAAGCUCUUUCGGCCGGAACGAAACGGUCCGUGCUAAUACCACGGACUACUGACGGUACCGGAAGAAGAAGCACCGGCCAACUACGUGCCAGCAGCCGCGGUAAUACGUAGGGUGCAAGCGUUAAUCGGAAUUACUGGGCGUAAAGCGUGCGCAGGCGGCGGCUUGUGUCAGGUGUGAAAUCCCCGGGCUUAACCUGGGAAUUGCGCUUGAAACUAGGUCGCUCGAGUUCAGUAGAGGGGGGUGGAAUUCCACGUGUAGCAGUGAAAUGCGUAGAGAUGUGGAGGAACACCGAUGGCGAAGGCAGCCCCCUGGNACUGAACU